GCCAGACUCCUACGGGAGGCAGCAGUGAGGAAUAUUGGUCAAUGAGCGCGAGCCUGAACCAGCCAAGUAGCGUGAAGGAUGACUGCCCUACGGGUUGUAAACUUCUUUUAUAAAGGAAUAAAGUGAGGCACGUGUGCCUUUUUGUAUGUACUUUAUGAAUAAGGAUCGGCUAACUCCGUGCCAGCAGCCGCGGUAAUACGGAGGAUCCGAGCGUUAUCCGGAUUUAUUGGGUUUAAAGGGUGCGCAGGCGGCACGGCAAGCCGGCGGUCAAAUCGCGGGGCUCAACCCCGCCCAGCCGUCGGAACUGCCGGGCUAGAGUGGGCGAGAAGUGCGCGGAAUGCGUGGUGUAGCGGUGAAAUGCAUAGAUAUCACGCAGAACUCCGAUUGCGAAGGCAGCGCACCGGCGCCCUACUGACGCUCAGGCACGAAAGCGUGGGUAUCGAACAGGAUUAGAUACCCUCGUA
rnacentral:rRNA from 1 species